AGCAAGGCAGCGAGCGCCAACACGUCGGACCGCGGCUCCAACGGCUCCGACGGCUCCAACAAUUCCGACAGGGGGUCCAAUCAUUCCGACGGGGGGUCCGAGCGCGGC
rnacentral:sRNA from 1 species